GAUGAACGCUGGCGGCGUGCCUAAUACAUGCAAGUCGAACGCGCAGCGAAAGGUGCUUGCACCUUUCAAGCGAGUGGCGAACGGGUGAGUAACACGUGGAUAACCUGCCUCAAGGCUGGGGAUAACAUUUGGAAACAGAUGCUAAUACCGAAUAAAACUUAGUAUCGCAUGAUACAAAGUUAAAAGGCGCUACGGCGUCACCUAGAGAUGGAUCCGGGGUGCAUUAGUUAGUUGGUGGGGUAAAGGCUUACCAAGACGAUGAUGCAUAGCCGAGUUGAGAGACUGAUCGGCCACAUUGGGACUGAGACACAGCCCAAACUCCUACGGGAGGCUGCAGUAGGGAAUCUUCCACAAUGGGCGCAAGCCUGAUGGAGCAACGCCGCGUGUGUGAUGAAGGCUUUCGGGUCGUAAAGCACUGUUGUAUGGGAAGAAAUGCUAAAAUAGGGAAUGAUUUUAGUUUGACGGUACCAUACCAGAAAGGGACGGCUAAAUACGUGCCAGCCGCCGCGGUAA
rnacentral:rRNA from 1 species